UACGUAGGUGGCAAGCGUACUCGGAAUCACUAGGCGUAAGGCGCAGGUAGGAGGUUUGGAAAGUCUGUUGUGAAAGCUCCCGGCUCAACUGGGAGAGGUCAACGGAAACUACCAGGCUAGAGUGUGGUAGAGGAAGAUGGAAUUCCCGGUGUAGCGGUGAAAUGCGUAGAUAUCGGGAGGAAUACCUAUGGCGAAAGCAGUCUUCUGGACCAUCACUGACUCUGAUCUGCGAAAGCUAGGGGAGC
rnacentral:rRNA from 1 species